rnacentral:rRNA from 1 species
AGAGUUUGAUCCUGGCUCAGAGCGAACGCUGGCGGCGUGCUUAACACAUGCAAGUCGAGUGCGCGGUCCCGCAGCAAUGCGGGACUGGCGCACGGCGCACGGGUGCGUAACACGUGGGCAAUCUGCCCUCCAAUGGGGAAUAACCCGCCGAAAGGCGGGCUAAUACCGCAUAACAUUCGUUGGACUUCGGUUCGAGGAUU